UUUAUUAAAUUCAUUUUCAAAAACAUGAUAUGUGACAGACAAGUCGAAGGACAAUAAGGGUAUAAAAUCGAAUGUACGUAUGCCUACGUAAUACGUCAAAUAAAAGAAGCACUAAAAAUCUCAGAACCAAAUGUGAAAUGUAUGAAGGGCGAUGCUUACAUGGGCCAAAAAAAAAGUUCUCGAUAAACCUUUCGAGAAAUUUGCCAUUUUCUGAGAAUGAGGUACCCACCCAUCCUGUUGAGCUAUAGUUCUUCCACAAACUCAAAAUACGUAAUAGGUAACGUUCAUAUGUACAGCUUUUAUCACCAUUAGAUAAGCACCUAGGGUACAUUUGAUCUAGGUACAUGCAAGCACCUCGUAAAAAAUUAUCAUCGGUUAAUUUUUAAAACAAUUCUACGUAUAAGGUUUAUACGUUCAUAAAAAUUAUAGUCAAUCUCCAAGAUACGAGAAAGUAUAAAAACAGAAAUUUUUCAUUUUUCAAUUCAUUGUUGAAAUACUACUUUCAUUUGGUGACUUUCUGGCUUAUUUGCAAAAAAGAAAAAAAUCAAAAUGCGUGUUUUAGGAUUAUUAGUUUGUUUUUUGGUGUCCUUAUGCAGCAUUUUCUCUCAUGCAGCUGCUGGUAAAGUUCUAGGCUUCCUUUUGAUCGGGUUGUUAACCGCGUUGUUCUUCGUUUUAUUAUUUUUACUUCCACCUCUUACUACCUUCUUGGCGUUCGCUUUGUUACCUUUGUUGCUAUUUUUGUGUUUCCUCAGUCUCGUUUUGUAGAGUAAGUAGCACUGCUAAUUGAAUAGAUAUUAAUUUAUUGAAAUUUAAGUUACCCGAAUUCACUAAAACAUAAUACAUAUUAUAAUUUCACAUUUUUACUCAAACUGAACAAAUUUUCAUAAAAAUUCGAAGAUAAUUUUCAUUUAUUUAAUUCAUUAUGCAAAGUUGUUCAAAUGUUCACCCGUAAAGUCUUUUAAGAAAAAAAAAGAAAAAAAAAGAAAGAACUUGUGCAAUAAAGUUGAGCUUUUCAAAUUUUUGUUGAAAAUAUCCCUAAAUCAGAGCCUCAGAAAGAAACCAAUUGUAUUUUAAUGAUGAAAAUUUUCAAGCCCUACAAUUUCUAUUCCCUUUAAGUAGGUAUCUUUUCGUAAUACUCGUGCGUUUUCCCAAAAUUGGGGGAAAAAGUUACACUAUUGAUUUUCAUUACAAAAAAUCAGUUUUCGGACUUAUUUGAAAAAUAUAAAAAGUAACAAAAAUAGUCUAAAAUGCUUCAAACGGAAGAACGUGAGUAAUUUUUUUUUUAUCGAAACUAUGCAAUUGAGAAUUUAAAAAAUUUCAAUCAUUUCAAAAAAUAAGCUUAUUGAAAAGUUUUACAGAUAAUUCUAAGUAUUUAGAACGAUCGUUUGUGUCAACUUUUGAAAUAGCGGAAAAGAAAUACAUUUCUAUGAAGAUAGUGAACUAAUGUGGGCAAUCGAUUAAAGAAAUGUUGGAUUAAAAAGCUGGGAAAGAUUAAGUAUUUUCAAAAAGGGGACAAUUCGAAGCCACAAACUGUGUGUCAAUUAUUAUAAAUGUAAGCUGUGAGCUCCCUAUGGACUUUUCACAUGGUAUAUGACGGACAAGUCGAAGGUCAAUUAGGGUAUAAAAUCGAAUGUACACCAAAUAGAAGGGGUACUAAAAAUCUAAAUACCAAAUGUGAAAUGUGUGAAGGGUAAGAGCGAUCCAUACGUUGACCAAAAAAAAAGUUUGCGAUAAAUCCUUCGAGAAAUUUGCGAUUUAUUUGAACUCGAAUUUUGCCAUUUUCUGAAAUACUUACGUUGGUAGCGUACAUAGGUAUUAUGUACAGCAUUUAUCACCAUUAGAUAUGUGUGUAGGUAUGUACCUACUACCUACCUAGGUUACAUUUGAUCUAGCUACAUACAAGUACAUACCUCGUAAAAAAUUAUCACCGGAUAACUUUUUAAACAAUUCUAGGUAUAAGGUUUAUACUUUCUUAAAAUCAGUUAGGUAAUCACAAAGAUAAGAGAACGUAUAAAAACUGAAAUUUUUCAUUUCUUAACUCAGUGUUGAAAUACUACGUUUCAUUUGGCGACUUUCUGGCUUAUUUGCAAAAAAGAAAAAAAUCAAAAUGCGUGUUUUAGGAUUAUUAGUUUGUUUUUUGGUGUCCUUAUGCAGCAUUUUCUCUCAUGCAGCUGCUGGUAAAGUUCUAGGCUUCCUUUUGAUCGGGUUGUUAACCGCGUUGUUCUUCGUUUUAUUAUUUUUACUUCCACCUCUUACUACCUUCUUGGCGUUCGCUUUGUUACCUUUGUUGCUAUUUUUGUGUUUCCUCAGUCUCGUUUUGUAGAAUGGCGAACAUUGGUCAUGAAAUUACAGAACUUCCUCGGCGAUUUAUUCUUAAAGGUGGUGGAAAAUGCGGAAAAUGGGAACCAAGUGCACAUUUCUAAUGAAUUUAAUUUCUUUUCAAAUCACUUCAAUCUAUUUAAAUAAUUAUUACCUAGUUUUAUUCUGUAAUUGAAACUGCAAUAAAUCAUUUGAGCAAAUA